rnacentral:rRNA from 1 species
AUUGAACGCUGGCGGCAUGCCUUACACAUGCAAGUCGAACGGUAACAGGUCUUCGGAUGCUGACGAGUGGCGAACGGGUGAGUAAUACAUCGGAACGUGCCCAGUAAUGGGGGAUAGCCCGGCGAAAGCCGGAUUAAUACCGCAUACGCCCUGAGGGGGAAAGUGGGGGACCGCAAGGCCUCACGUUAUUGGAGCGGCCGAUGGCUGAUUAGCUAGUUGGUAGGGUAAAGGCCUACCAAGGCGACGAUCAGUAGCUGGUCUGAGAGGACGAUCAGCCACACUGGGACUGAGACACGGCCCAGACUCCUACGGGAGGCAGCAGUGGGGAAUUUUGGACAAUGGGGGAAACCCUGAUCCAGCAAUGCCGCGUGUGCGAAGAAGGCCUUCGGGUUGUAAAGCACUUUUGUCAGGGAAGAAAUCCUUUGGGCUAAUACCCUAGGGGGAUGACGGUACCUGAAGAAUAAGCACCGGCUAACUACGUGCCAGCCGCCGCAGUAAUAC